GGGGGUUUAGCUCAGCGGCAUAAGCGCCUGCCUUGCAAGCAGGCAGUCCUGAGUUCGAUUCCUGGUACCAAUA
rfam:Cavia porcellus supercont2_30 genomic scaffold, whole genome shotgun sequence.